rnacentral:rRNA from 1 species
UACGGGGGGGGCAAGCGUUGUUCGGAAUUACUGGGCGUAAAGGGCUCGUAGGUGGCCAACUAAGUCGGACGUGAAAUCCCUCGGCUUAACCGGGGAACUGCGUCCGAUACUGGAUGGCUUGAGUUUGGGAGAGGGAUGCGGAAUUCCAGGUGUAGCGGUGAAAUGCGUAGAUAUCUGGAGGAACAUCGGUGGCGAAGGCGGCAUCCUGGACCAACACUGACACUGAGGAGCGAAAGCCAGGGGAGCAAACGGG